GGAGUAUUAUUUUAGGGGAAGAACUUGAAACACAGCUUUUUAAUUAUGAUAAAAAAGAGGGAGAAAAUAUCUUAAAGCUUAUUGUUAUUCACUAAUGCCCUUGUCUUUCAUGAGUUGUGUUUUUACUCAGAUUAUUACUAAAAGCUUUAAUUCAAAGGAGUUUUUGAUCAUCAUCAAAAAGGGGGAGAAUGUUAGCAAAAUGAUAAAGAUGAAGUUUUGAUGAUGCCCAAAUCAAGUCAAGAUAUAUCAAGAUUCAUGAAGAUCCUUUGAAGACUUA
rnacentral:lncRNA from 1 species